CGGAUAUGCAUCGGACGACGACUUAGCAUUGUAGAACCGCUUUCCGACGAGAAUGUUGGCGGCUUCAGUAGGAUGAAAAGCAUCCCAGAAUAGAAAACCAUCCCUGUUUUGGCAUGGAGUCUGGAAGGGCAAGCAGGUGAUCUGACCAUUGUUCCUCCCCACUCCACAGCAUCCAGCAUUUGUAACACUUAAACCAUAAGUUGCAGGGCUUGCUGCAAUGUCGGCGAAGAUUCCAUAAGAAUUGAUGUAGGUGAAGUGUGCACCAUCCAAUUGAUUAAACUCAUCCAUGAGAGAUAUCAGCUUCCUAUUAAAUAUUUGUAUGGCACUGUCGAUCCGAUCGACACAGGUGACACCGUUCGGGCUGAACUGUGCAAGCUCGUUCGGGCUGCAGCCGAUCUGACCUACUCCAAUCACCGCCACCUUUCUCGCACCGUAAUUGUACAACUCUCUAAGCUGGUUAGCAUACUGCUGGAUUAGGACAUCGGCGUACUGCUCGGGUGUGUACUGACGGCUGGUGGAGUAGACCGUGGGCAUAAAGUAAUUGUUGAGGUAGUCGUUGCUGCCCAUGCCAACGGAAAAGAUGCAUUUGCUGAGGUAAGUGGCAGCGGAGUCUUCGUCUCCAAGGAGGUUAACAACUUGUUGGACAGCUGACUGGUAGUUCUGAAGCUGGCCCCCAAAGCUGAUACGAGCUCCCAAUUGUCGGCCAGUUUCGUCUCUGAUUCCAGCAGCAGCAGAAGCAAAAUUUACGCCGGUGAGUAGCGCUUGGCCG
rnacentral:misc_RNA from 1 species